rnacentral:rRNA from 1 species
UACGGAGGGGGCAAGCGUUAUCCGGAUUUACUGGGUGUAAAGGGAGCGUAGACGGUGAUGCAAGUCAGAAGUGAAAGCCCGGGGCUCAACUCCGGGACUGCUUUUGAAACUGUGUAACUGGAGUGCAGGAGAGGUAAGCGGAAUUCCUGGUGUAGCGGUGAAAUGCGUAGAUAUCAGGAGGAACACCAGUGGCGAAGGCGGCUUACUGGACUGUAACUGACGUUGAGGCUCGAAAGCGUGGGGAGCAAACAGG